ACGGCAGCACGGGUGCUUGCNCCUGGUGGCGAGUGGCGAACGGGUGAGUAAUACAUCGGAACAUGUCCUGUAGUGGGGGAUAGCCCGNCNAAAGCCGGAUUAAUACCGCAUACGAUCNACGGAUGAAAGCGGGGGACCUUCGGGCCUCGCGCUAUAGGGUUGGCCGAUGGCUGAUUAGCUAGUUGGUGGNGUAAAGGCCUACCAAGGCGACGAUCAGUAUUCUGNUNUGAGAGGACGACCANCCNAACUGGGACUGAGNCACGGCCNAGACUAAUACGGGAGG
rnacentral:rRNA from 1 species